GCGCAGGCGCCGCAGCGAGAGGACCAAGUGAAUCCGAGGCUGUUCAUCAGAAGAUUCUGAGCAACAAGUUCCUUACUGUACGAAUGAGAGAGCUGUGGAGAAAGGAAGACUGCCAGAAGUUUUACCAAGAACAUGAAGCAUGCCUUCCUGGACCAGAUGGCCAAUCUCCUGACAUGUGCCUCUCUCAUUCAUAGUGGGCCAAUCUGAGCCUACAUCUUUGCCCACAAGAAUACUAUCCAGCUCUAAAGGACACUGAUGGGGCACACUGAUGGAGGACACUGUGUUUUGAGCACACCAUAUGGCCCCAGAUUCUAUUCAUGGGAGUUUUGGCCUCACCAAUACCCACAAAACCACCCAUGGUUCAGGUGAGCCUGCUUCAUUUUGGGUUUGGUGAGUGGGCUCUGUGGUGGGGCUGAGAGCCUAGUUCCCCCAGUGAGCUUUAUUCCCACUUGUGUUUCUGGCCCUUUUUGGUCAUCUCAGCAGGUAUGGCCUAUGGACUUUCUUUACAUGUCCCAGGACCAGCAGAAGUAGAGGCUCAUCUUAGCAAAGCUGUCUGAACCUGAUUGUGGCAAUCUCUUGCCUCCACCCUGCACUCAGUGUGACAACACCUUCUCAGUCUUACCUCCUCUCACAGACUCUGUGGUUUCAGCCACUAGAGAGACUGCAACCUUCUUCCCUGACUUCAGUGAGCAGCGCUGGUAUGAGGAGGAGGAGCCCUACUUGCUCAGUGGCCCUGUGUGCUAUAGACCCAAAGGAAGUAUCCGCUGUGCAGCCAGAACAGAAGGCGCAGGACCAGCCUGAUGCAGGCCUGUCGGUCUGUGAAGACUGGUGAUAUAUUGCACAGCCUUCUCUCUCAGACCUCUGGUCUAAAACAUUUUCCUAGGACCAGGGAAGCCUGGGCUCAUGGUGCCAUCUCUGCUACCUCCCCAUGGGCCCAUCACUGCCGCUGCCUCCGGAAUCUAGCUCUCUAUCUACCUUUUCUCUGGAAUGUUCAUGGCUGGUUCAGAAGCAUGAUGGACAACUAGAGUUUUUAGACUCUUUUGUUGGGAACUGUCCAUCCUUCUUCAAGAAGGAGCUUGCCUAAAUGACCUGCCAGGAAUGUAAAUCCCCUGAAAGUGUGGUGACUAUAUAAGCAGAAUUUGGCCUAUAUUUCUCAAUAAAAGUCAGUCUUCUACUGAAUCCUCAAAGCUGGGAGCACUUAAAGCUUUCUCUCUGUCCUUACUUGGAAUAAAGAAACCUACCUAAAGCCAGGUUUCCGGUCUGUGCUAUUGUGUAGGAAUCUCCAUGUAGGCAUGUGUGUGCACAUACAAACACAAAUGUGCAGCUUAAAGUAGUGCAUAAAGAUACCUAGUGAAGGAGCUAAGUGCAGGCUCAGGUCCAUGCUGUGCACUUUGGCACAGGGCCAUGUCCUGGAGGACAGGGCACCUUUUAUUUGAACAAGGUGUGUCUACCCAGUGGGGGCAUAUUUUUAUGAUUCACUUUUUUCUGAUUUGCAUAAAGACAUUAAAGGUAGCCAUGUCUCCCUUGUAGCAUAUAAUAAUUACCUAUUGCUGCACAACAAAUCACCUCAAAAUUUAGUGGCUUCAAACAACAAUGAUUUGUUCUGUGAGUUGGCUGGAUGAUUCUUCUGCUCUGGGUAGUUCUGCUGAUUUCACCCGGACUCCCAAGUGGCUGUGUUCACCUGGUGGGUCCACAUGAUCUUUCAUCCUGAGCUUUUUCACUGCACAAUUAUUUCAGGGCUCCAAUAGGGCAGCCCCCAAUUCAUAAGCUUAUCAAGUUUCGGCUUGUGUCAUGUUUGCUGAUAUGUCACUGGCCAAAGCAAGUCACAUGGCCAAACCCAGAGUCCAUGUGGGAGGGGACUGUACAAGGGCAUGGAUACCAGUAGGUACCAAUUACUGGAUUUCAUUACUAUGACAGUGUAGCACAAUGGGAGUUAUGAGGAGGCUUGAAAAAAUGUUGUUAUGG